rnacentral:rRNA from 1 species
ACGUAGGUGGCAAGCGUUGUCCGGAUUUACUGGGCGUAAAGCGUGUGUAGGCGGGUCUUUAAGUAGGAAGUGAAAGGUUGGAGCUCAACUCUAACAUUGCUCCCUAUACUGGGGAUCUUGAGUGUCGGAGAGGACGAUGGAACUGCACGUGUAGCGGUGGAAUGCGUUGAGAUGUGCAGGAACACCAAUGGCGAAGGCAAUCGUCUGGACGAAGACUGACGCUGAGACACGAAAGCCAAGGUAGCAAACAGGA